rnacentral:rRNA from 1 species
UACGUAGGGGGCAAGCGUUGUCCGGAAUUACUGGGCGUAAGGGCUCGUAGGUGGCCAACUAAGUCGGACGUGAAAUCCCUCAGCUUAACUGGGGAACUGCGUCCGAUACUGGAUGGCUUGAGUUUGGGAGAGGGAUGCGGAAUUCCAGGUGUAGCGGUGAAAUGCGUAGAUAUGCGGAGGAACACCGAUGGCGAAGGCAAUCCCCUGGGCCUGCACUGACGCUCAUGCACGAAAGCGUGGGGAGCAAACAGG